rnacentral:snRNA from 1 species
GGAUGUGAAGGCGAUCUGGCUGCGACAUCUGUCACCCCAUUGAUCACCAGGGUUGAUUCGGCUGAUCUGGCUGGCUAGGCGGGUGUCCCCUUCCUCCCUCAAUGCUCCACGUGUGUCCCUCCCAAAGCUGCGCACUCGGCUGAAGAAGACGGCUUUCCCGGGUAGAAGAGGACCAGUCUUCGGUCGAGGGUAUACGAGUAGCUGCGCUCCCCUGAUAGACCCUCCAAACAAGCUCUCAAUUGAUCAAAAAGUUAAUGGGGAAAACAAAAAAGAUGAGCCCUCUUUCCAAAACAUUAUAGAUUUAAGAUAUGUGUCAUGAAACUUG